UACUCACAAGAGAAAAAAUAUCACAAAAUUAGAUGGACUAAAAUUCUUAUUCCAUAUUCAGCUUGCUCAAGAUAAUGUGUACAUCAUUUUCUAUGUUAUUCAUGGAAUGGGGGAACUGGGGUGCAACAACAUUUCAUUUCAUCUCCCGGUGCUAAUGAGCAGUAAGCUGAAUAAGGAUCAAGACCAUAUUCUUUGCACAUAUUCUUGCAUCCGGUGAUUGUGCAAUCCUCAAUUUUAUUACACUGUAUGUCGUGCUCUCCAACUACAAAAAAUAUAACCAUUAUUUAGAACACACAAGUUGAACUACAUUUAUGUAUGUAUGUAUCCAAAAAUAAAUAAAUAUGUAUGUAUACAUACAUACAUACAUAAUGUAUAUAGACCUGCUGUUUAAAAAAGAUUAAUCAGAAAGGGAAGAGCUUACAUGCAUCACAUGAUGAGAAAACAUUGGAGAAAAUCAUAAGACCCAUGAAUACAAGGGCCAUGGAGUGUACAACCCUCAGCUUGUUCUUGGGAAGUGCCAUCACAAGGAAACUG
rnacentral:lncRNA from 1 species